rnacentral:misc_RNA from 1 species
UUUUUUAAUUUUAUCUAUUUCAGCGCUACAAGAGCAUUGAAUAACACGUUCCUUACAUACAUAAGAUGUUUUUAAAAUAAUAGGACAAGCCUUUAAAAAAAAUAAAGGUUUUUCCAACGGUGCACAAAGGUGUGUGGAUGUGAGAUGGUUUGGGACAUGGAGUCCCAGGUUAUUUCACUAAUGAUCCUUCCGCAGGUUCACCUACGGAAA